UACGGAGGGUGCAAGCGUUAUCCGGAUUCACUGGGUUUAAAGGGUGCGUAGGUGGAUUGGUAAGUCAGUGGUGAAAUCUCCGGGCUUAACCCGGAAACUGCCAUUGAUACUAUCAGUCUUGAAUACCGUGAAGGUCAGUAGAAUAUGUCAUGUAGCGGUGAAAUGCUUAGAUAUGACAUAGAAUACCAAUUGCGAAGGCAGCUGGCUACACGAAUAUUGACACUCAGGCACGAAAGCGUGGGGAUCAAACAGG
rnacentral:rRNA from 1 species